rnacentral:rRNA from 1 species
GUGCAGCAGUCGAGAAUUUUUCACAAUGGGGGAAGCCCUGAUGGAGCGACGCCGCGUGGAGGAUGAAGGCGUUUUCGUCGUAAACUCCUGUCAUGCGAGAACAAGAAAGUGAUAGUAUCGCAAGAGGAAGAGGCGGCUAACUCUGUGCCAGCAGCCGCGGUAAUACAGAGGCCUCAAGCGUUGUUCGGAUUCAUUGGGCGUAAAGGGUGCGUAGGUGGCAUGGUAAGUUGAAGGUGAAAUCUCGGAGCUCAACUCCGAAACUGCCUUCAAUACUGCUGUGCUCGAGGACUGUAGAGGAGAAUGGAAUUCACGGUGUAGCAGUGAAAUGCGUAGAUAUCGUGAGGAAGACCAGUGGCGAAGGCGAUUCUCUGGGCAGUUCCUGACACUGAGGCACGAAGGCUAGGGGAGCAAACGGGAUUAGAUACCCCUGUAGU